GUCAAAGAGAUGUAAAAUAAGUAGACAAAUUGCUAUUGAAUUGUAUUUGCUAGAAUUGAUACAGAGCUAAGCUUCUUUAAAGCUAUAUAAAGAGCAGUCCAAAUUUUUCAUGUGAACAUACAAAACAAACAAUUGAUAAAACAAUGCAUUAGUUUUGCCUGUAAGCGAUGUAAUUAGCCAAAGCAAUCAAUGGAGCUGCCUUUUCAGGAUCAAAUCCAGCCAGCUGCUCCUGAGCUUCCUUAUUCAGCUUCUCUGCAAAUUCCCUCGACUUCUCAAUCCCCAAAAGCUUGGGAUAUGUAACCUUGUCCGCCACCAAGUCCUUGCCUGCAGUUUUCCCCAAUUCUUGGGAUGAUUUAGUCACAUCAAGAAUAUCGUCAACAACUUGGAACAACAACCCAAUAUCCCUAGCAUAUUUCCUCAAUUUCUCCACUUCCUCAUCGGUUCCUCCGCCCAAUAUAGCCCCUAGCACCACAGCCCCCUCCAACAACUUAGCGGUCUUGUGGAUGUGAAUAAAUUCAAGCUUCUCUAAAUCCACCUCAGAUGAGCCCUCAGAAUUUAUAUCAACUACUUGGCCAGCAACUAACCCUUCUGCCCCGAUCGCCUUCGCUAAUUCCCCAACUGCCCGGACAAUUCUAGCAGAAGAAACAUUUAAAGUAGAAACAGCGAUGUGUUCAAAAGCAAAUGCUAGGAGUGCGUCACCGGCGAGAACCGCCACGUCCUCUCCAAACACGAUGUGAUUGGUGGGCUUGCCACGGCGGAGAUCGUCGUUAUCCAUGCAAGGGAGGUCAUCAUGGAUGAGAGACAUAGUAUGAAUCAUUUCCACAGCGCAUGCAGCAGGCAUCGCCAUGGAGUCAUUCCCACCAACAAGCUCACACGCAGCGAGGCAGAGGGCCGGUCGUACCCUCUUGCCGCCGGCCAAGAGGGAAUAACGCAUAGACUCGUGAAUUUUAGCGGGUUCUUGGAGUGGAAUGGCAGCUUCUAAAGCUUGGUUAAUGGAAUUGGCUUUUUGGAGCAUGUAGGAUUUGAAAUCAAAAGAGGGUGGUGGAUUAUUCUGCUCUUCUUGAAGAGUUUCUUCUUCCUUGGUAAUAAUCGCAGAGACAGAUGAAAUGGGUCGCUCUGAUUUUCUAUAAGCAAAGGAAAUUGCUAAACUUUUUAGAGGAUUGAAAGGUAGAGAGAAGGAUUUGGAUUUGGAUCUGGAUCUGGUAGCUUGGUUUAAGACGUAGGAGGUGUGAACCCAUGAGCCCAAAUUCACUGAACUCAUCUUGAGAUUAACGAAAGGACAGAAAGAAAGCUGAAAGAAAUGAGAGAUUAUGGAUUAGUCCUCAGGCUUCAGCCAUAGUUGAAUGCGGAGGAGGAGAAAUGGAGGUGACCUUCAAGAGAGAGAAUGAAAAUGGAAAUUGGAGAGUGGAGCCAAAGAGGAAAGAAGAGAGGGGACAAAGAUAGGAUUUUGGAUUGAAUAGCGUCCCUGUGGCCUGUGCUGUGCACCGUCCACUACCAGAA
rnacentral:misc_RNA from 1 species